rnacentral:rRNA from 1 species
CCUACGGGUGGCAGCAGUGGGGAAUAUUGGUCAAUGGGCGAGAGCCUGAACCAGCCAAGUCGCGUGAGGGAGUACUGCCCUAUGGGUUGUAAACCUCUUUUGUCGGGGAGCAAAAGCCGGACGUGUCCGGCUGUGAGAGUACCCGAAGAAAAAGCGUCGGCUAACCCCGUGCCAGCAGCCGCGGUCAUACGUAGGAUGCCAGCGUUGUCCGGAUUUAUUGGGUGUAAAGGGUGCGCAGUCGGAUUUUUCAGUCGGCGGUAAAAUCGUGGGGCUGAACCCCAUCCAGCCGUGGAAACUGGGGAUCUAGAGUGUGCGAGAGGUAAGCGGAAUGCGUGGUGUAGCGGUGAAAUGCAUAGAUAUCACGCAGAACCCCGGUGGCGAAGGCAGCAUACCGGUGCACAACUGACGCUCAGGCACGAAAGCGUGGGUAUCGAACAGGAUUAGAUACCCCUGUAGUC